rnacentral:snRNA from 1 species
AUCGCUUCUCGGCCUUUUGGCUAAGAUCAAGUGUAGUAUCAAGUACAGGUUUAACAUUUGUCAGUUUGUGAAUAAUGGAAUAAAAACAAAU